rnacentral:rRNA from 1 species
AUACGUAGGGAGCGAGCGUUGUCCGGAAUUACUGGGCGUAAAGGGCGCGUAGGCGGCGCUUCAAGUCGUCUGUCAAAUGGGAGGGCUUAACCCUUUUUCGCAGACGAAACUGGAGAGCUUGAGAAGCAGAGAGGCAAACAGAAUUCCUGGUGUAGCGGUGAAAUGCGUAGAUAUCAGGAAGAAUACCAGUGGCGAAGGCGGUUUGCUGGCUGCAUACUGACGCUGAAGCGCGAAAGCCAGGGGAGCAAACGGGAUUAGAUACCCCGGUAGUCCUGGCAGUAAACGAUGUAUGCUGGGUGUGAGACUAGCGAUAGUUUCGUGCCGAAGUUAACGCGAUAAGCAUACCGCCUGGGGAGUACGGUCGCAAGAUUGAAACUUAAAGGAAUUGGCGGGG